rnacentral:lncRNA from 1 species
GGGUCGGACCGGCAACAUGUGACUGGAUUACAGCGUGCGAGUAAAAAGGGGAAAGAAGCACAGAUCACGAAUGAGGGGAAACUGGAGGAGAGGAACAGGAACAAAAGAAAGGUGGAGAUUUAAUGAAGGCAGAUGAGAGGUUUCCGCUGCACGAAUCACUGCUUCCUGACAGACAUCAACAGUCCAGAGCGGAUUCAUUGGGAAAGGAGAGAAAGAACAUGUGAAGUGGAAAACAGCAGGUUUACAAACAGGUAUCUCACGUCACGUUUGAUUGUGCAAUUGUUUGCCGACUCAAGACAGCCAGCGAGGAACAGGUUUGGGGUCAGAGGAGAAAGAGUGAAAGAGAAAAGCUGGGAAGAAGAGAAACGAGAGCGAAGUGAGGAACAGAAAAAAGGCCGUUUUACUGUCAUCUUGACCGACAAGAAAGAGCAUCCUAUACCUUCAACUCACACUCACACACACACACUCACACACUCUCACACACACACACACACACACACACUCACACACAGUCCAUUCAAAGAGGUUAUUAAAUAUCAGCUUCCACAGCAGACAUUCACCUGAAGGAUCUCUGCGAUCAUCUGCCGCUCAUCAAGAGAAAAUUCUUCAGCAAUCCUAUGAAGCUCAUGAGCAGUUCUGACAUGAACUGGUGCGUCCUGCAGUCAGACAUGCUAAACUCUACACUCUAGAAACCAUUUUAAAUUAGCAACUUAUUCUCGUAUAAUAAAUGUGUUCAUAUUAAUUGAGGGAUACCCAAAAUAUUUGGACUCUUCAGUAAAUGGCAAAAUAUGUGAAAACGUCUAAGAAAUGGCGACCAGUUACAGCAGCUAAAAGAAACAUCUUCCUAAUGUGUUCAUCUGAGCUUGAACUGAGUUUCAGAGACUGUAAGCAGCGAGUCUGAGACGUGGCCAUUGUGUUUGUCCUCGUUCUCUGUGUAAUGGCGGGUGAGUGAGCGAGAGCGAGAGCAUGUGGGUGAAGGGUAAAGCAUGCUUUUAUGAAUGGGCUGCUGGGACGAGCGCUCUGAUUGGUCAGAGCCACAUCUCUGUGUCUUUAGUGAAAUAUGACACCACAACUCAACACACCGCUUACAAUGUGACACAACCGUUUCCCACUGCUGCUUUUAUCAGCAGUUAAAACACAGCUGUAAGAUCAGAGAUGUGCUGGAAGAGAAGGCUAUUCUAGAAACACAGUCAGGUCUCGAUUCCUGUUCGAUAUCAGCGCUCAAGAGUCAGUCAACAACAGCAGCGGUCACACGCCGACUGAAGAAAGAGAGAGAUCAUACCCUGCUUCACCUAAAGCUUAAAGAGGUCAUAUGCGAUUUCAAGCUUUCCUUUGUCUUUGUAGUGUUACAAGCUGUUCGUGAAUAGAUAAGAUCCGUAAAGUUGCAAAGAUUAAAGUCUCAAAC